UCAGAAGCACAAUUUGAAUCCAAUUCCCAGCAAUAAACACAAUCCUGCAAACAUUCAACCAAUUACCCACACCCGAAAGCCAGCACACAAAGCCUCAAACAUAGAACCCAUUGGCAACAAAAACCCAAAGUCAAACAGAGAACUCCACAAGCAACCAAUUACCAGACAUAUAGGCAAUAACAGAAGAAAUAAAGGGGAAGAAAGUGCAAUAUAAAGUUUCGACUGC
rnacentral:lncRNA from 1 species